AUUGAACGCUGGCGGCAUGCUUUACACAUGCAAGUCGAACGGCAGCGCGGGCUACGGCCUGGCGGCGAGUGGCGAACGGGUGAGUAAUACAUCGGAACGUGCCCAGUAGUGGGGGAUAGCUCGGCGAAAGCCGGAUUAAUACCGCAUACGACCUGAGGGUGAAAGCGGGGGAUCUUCGGACCUCGCGCUAUUGGAGCGGCCGAUGGCAGAUUAGCUAGUUGGUGGGGUAAAGGCCUACCAAGGCGACGAUCUGUAGCUGGUCUGAGAGGACGACCAGCCACACUGGGACUGAGACACGGCCCAGACUCCUACGGGAGGCAGCAGUGGGGAAUUUUGGACAAUGGGCGAAAGCCUGAUCCAGCAAUGCCGCGUGUGUGAUGAAGGCCUUCGGGUUGUAAAGCACUUUUGGCGGGAACGAAAAGGACUGUGCCAAUACCACGGUUCGAUGACGGUACCCGCAGAAUAAGCACCGGCUAACUACGUG
rnacentral:rRNA from 1 species